UCUGGUGAUGAUGGCGUAGAGGAAACACUCCUUUCCAUUCCGAACAGGACAGUUAAGCUCUACAGCGCCGAUGGUACUUCACGGGAAACUGUGCGGGAGAGUAGGACGUUGUCAGGU
rnacentral:rRNA from 1 species